rnacentral:rRNA from 1 species
GGAAGUAAAAGUCGUAACAAGGUCAUCGUAGGUGAACCUGCGGUGGGAUCAUAAAGAAAUUAAUGAUAUACCAUGAGGAGUGAGUAUAAGUAAGUGGUUUUUUUUUUUAAAGAAAAAAUUGCUGCUGUGCUGCUUUUCUGCUUGUGUGAACAUUUUAGAAUGUGACUUUUCGAGGCAAUCAAGGAAGGAUGAGAAUGUGAGGGAGAGGGGGGGAAACCACACAAACCCUUGCGUUUUUUUUUUUCUUUUUGCGCCUUUUAAUAAACCAUAAACCAUACAAAUUCAAUUUGUCGAUCUAAUCAAAAAACAUAAUAAAAACAACUAUUAGUGGUGGAUCACUAGGCUCUUGCAUCGAUGAAGAACGUAGCGAAUUGCGAAAAUUGUCGUGAAUUGCAUCACCGUGAAUCAUCGAGUCUUUGAACGCACUUUGCGGCCUGUACUUGUGCAGGCCAUGUCUGUAUGAGCGUCAUAAACAACCACACUCUAGAAUUUACCUUGUGUGAAUUUUGGAGCUUGGGCGAGUCAACGGCAAAUAUAUAAAUAAUAGUAUCUUAUCUUGCUGGCGACGCCUAAAAAAAUGGCUUUUGGCACCGACUUGUAAAAAAAGAGUAUAGUAUUCUUUUAAUAAGAAGGGGCUUUUGCGUGAUAAAACAGCAUUUUUACUCUGAGACGGAAAAUCAUUGUAGAUAGAUGUAUGUGUGUGCGUGUGCAUUACAGGAUAGUUGACUCUUGGUCAUCAUUAAAAAUUCCCCAUACUGCCACCACCACAGCUGCUCUAUUGCAACUACAAUGUCCCGCCGUUCUCAUACAAAAGAGUGGAUUUGUUCAUCACAACAACAGCUAGACCAAGCCAUUGCAACCAACAGUAGUAGUGUAGUAUAUUUCACUAUAAUAUUGACCUCAUAUCAGGCAAGGCUACCCGCUGAACUUAAGCAUAUCAAUAAGCGGAGGA